ensembl:lncRNA
UGCUGACCAGACGGUUAUAUUACAGUCUGUGUGUGUGUGUGUGUGUGUGUGUGUGUGUGUCUGUGUGUGUGUGUGUGUGUGUGUGUCUGUGUGUGAUUGUGUACUUGUCUACCUAUCCAACGGGGGACCAUGGUGUCGUUACACACUCACCUACAGGGGACCUCAGAGCCAAAAGUGGACAUUUUCCAAGUCCCCUGUAGGUUAUGCCUUAAAUCAUGCUAAAAUCAACUAAAAAAAACCCUGGUGAAGUUUUUUUAAUUUUGACCAAAUGGGGACCUGGACGUGUGUGUGUGUUUAAGCACAUUCUCAGCAGCGCCCCUGUAGGCCGGGGCAGGAACUGUAAGGGCCAAUUCACACACGUCGUUCACACUCCUCUAUUGUCUGAAUGCCUGCUGCUCCAGAGAGGCUCUGAGGCUCUAGAGGAGAUUGAACACAAACCAGUCUUUUAAACUCCCAAACUCUUCUAAACUCUUAAAACAUUCCUAUUCUCGAACAUCCAGGAGGACCAGAUUACAGUGAGGCAAAAUAGUAUCUGAAUUAUUAGCAUUAUUAUUUCACUCUAAUGCUAAAAAAAUGUUAAUUUAUUCAUUUUUACCCCAAAAUCUUUUUAUAGUGUAUGUUGAAUGUCAAGAACAGGUAUUUUAGUGUUAUUAUCAACAUUGCCAUUGCAUUCAGAGAUAGUGAGAAUGUGAAAUAUUGUUAAAUGUAAGGUCAACCACCAUCACACUUGACCAUCUAACAGGGGACCAGUGUGUUUUAGUCUAGUGAAAUCACUACUAUAUGCACAGACCUGUUGCUGUGUACGUUUAGCAUCUACAUUUAGUCUGUGUAGAAAUGGCCAUGCAAUAGUGAACAAAAUGGUGACCUAAACAUGGAAAUAUCUAAAUGAACUGAUUUUGUUCAAGUGAAAAAUAUUAUUGAACAUCACUGAACCAAGCUUACACUUUAGUUUACACCAACAAAUCUCAUUUUAUGGGUUAAAACAAGCAGAAAGAGGUAACAACUGCAGGUCGUUACUUUUCAUAGUUUUUAUUUCUGAGAUUAAUGAAACACAACUUAUUUAUUUUUUCUGUCAAAAGCUAUUUAGUUUGAUAUGUGUAGCAUAUUUUACUAACUAUGCAGCAGAUGAUGUAAAAAUAGCUAGAAAAAAAAAUCACAUUAAAA